GGUUGGUUUGAGUGUGUUGUGUUUACAACUAACUGAUCACAACCAGUUAUAGAUUCCUUUGUUCCUUCUCCACUACCACUGCUUAACUUAACCAGCCUUUA
rnacentral:Y_RNA from 1 species